AUGGAGAAAGAACGGUUGUCUGGUUCGUAUGCGUCGCGUAGAGAUGAAGAUGAAGGUGUCAUAAUCCUUUCCUCCAGAGAGGACGUGAACGAGUGUUUGUUGAAUGACGGUGAGGUUGGUUCAUAAUUCGUCCUCUUGAGGAUCGUUCCAAUGGAAGAUCAUUUUUUCAGGUUUUGUUAAGGGUUUUUUGAAGAGGUUCCAGGAGUACUGUUAUCACAGCUAAGAGAAAGGAAAAAAUGAAGGCCUUGUUUCUGUUGAAGAUUAGAGAGAAUUUGUUAUCAAUUCGGUUGGAGGUGGUUAUUCUGUUAUGAAAAGUUUGUUGGAUUACAGGUUGAAACAUGAAGAAAUUUGGCGGAGGUUCAAUCAGGUAGGGCAGUUCAUUGAAUUCUGUUAGAAUUGUUUUAGGAGGAGUUUGAUGAACCGAGUUUGUUAAAAUUCGGUUAUGCGGUUGAUUAAUUCUAUUUGACAGUUGUGUUUCCAGUUUUGGUUCUCAUUCUGUCAGUUCUUUGCAGGUCUGGCUUGUAUUUGGCUGGUGUGGCAGGAUUUUAUUUGGAUUGUUGCAGGUGGUUUGAUGCUACUGCAGUGGUCAUGUUGGACAGACUUGGAGAAAGUUGCAGACCUCAGCCAAGAGACCGGAAAUUGAUCCAAAAUUGAAUUAAGGAGCUGAGAGGUUUGGUUCCAAAGCGCAGUAUUGAUUCACUACUGGAGCACUCAAUGAAGCACAUGCUCUAAGGACGCUGACAAGCUAACAGAAUCUGUUGUUUCUAAAUCAAAGUUGCCUCACGUGGAAGCAUACAUUCACGACUCUUCAAGUUGGGAAAUGGAGGUAGGGGUCAUGAUGACAAGAUGUUAAUAUGCCUUAUCGUGGAGGUUGAAAACAACAACACAGUACACCGAUUGGACAUCUUGUGGGCGCCUGUUUAAAUAUUAAAAUCCAAGAGCAAUAUGCAACAACAAUAACUAGUUGAUUUGUAGAAACCUUGUGGCCUUUUAUUGUUAUUGAUCAAUAAAAUGAUGCUUGUUGUUUAGGAACUUUGUAACUUCCAUGGCAUAAUGCUAGCUUCACAUGAUUCGCUUAUGUUGUACUGUUGUAAUGUAGAAGGAACUCGGUUGUAAUUGGAAUGGACAUGAAUUGAAAACUGUUAUUUAUGAUUGGAAAUUAAAAAUGGAAUGUAUUGAAAAGAAUUGGUUCAAUGUAUUAUGUAUAGAAUUUGUAUGUAGUUUGGA